UACGGGGGGUGCAAGCGUUAUCCGGAUUUACUGGGUUUAAAGGGUGUGUAGGCGGGCUUUUAAGUCAGUGGUGAAAUCUCCGGGCUCAACCUGGAAACUGCCAUUGAUACUAUUAGUCUUGAAUUUUGUUGAGGUAGGCGGAAUAAGUCAUGUAGCGGUGAAAUGCAUAGAUAUGACUUAGAACACCAAUUGCGAAGGCAGCUUGCUAAACAAAUAUUGACGCUGAGGCACGAAAGCGUGGGGAUCAAACAGG
rnacentral:rRNA from 1 species